rnacentral:rRNA from 1 species
CCUUUGACGUUAGCGGCGGACGGGUGAGUAACACGUGGGUAACCUACCUAUAAGACUGGGAUAACUUCGGGAAACCGGAGCUAAUACCGGAUAAUAUUUCUAACCGCAUGGUUCGAUAGUGAAAGGUGGUUUUGCUAUCACUUAUAGAUGGACCCGCGCCGUAUUAGCUAGUUGGUAAGGUAACGGCUUACCAAGGCGACGAUACGUAGCCGACCUGAGAGGGUGAUCGGCCACACUGGAACUGAGACACGGUCCAGACUCCUACGGGAGGCAGCAGCA